rnacentral:tRNA from 1 species
GUUGUGGUGAUUCAGUGGUAGAAUUUUCACCUUACAUUCAAGAGACCUGGGUUUGAUUCCCAGCCAAUGCG